AACGAACGCUGGCGGCAUGCCUAACACAUGCAAGUCGAACGAGACCUUCGGGUCUAGUGGCGCACGGGUGCGUAACGCGUGGGAAUCUGCCCUUCGGUUGGGAAUAACUGAGAGAAAUUUCAGCUAAUACCUUAUAAUGUCUUCGGACCAAAGAUUUAUCGCCGAGGGAUGAGCCCGCGUAGGAUUAGGUAGUUGGUGGGGUAAUGGCCUACCAAGCCGACGAUCCUUAGCUGGUCUGAGAGGAUGAUCAGCCGCACUGGGACUGAGACACGGCCCAGACUCCUACGGGAGGCAGCAGUGGGGAAUAUUGGACAAUGGGCGAAAGCCUGAUCCAGCAAUGCCGCGUGAGUGAUGAAGGCCUUAGGGUUGUAAAGCUCUUUUACCCGGGAUGAUAAUGACAGUACCGGGAGAAUAAGCUCCGGCUAACUCCGUG
rnacentral:rRNA from 1 species